AUGCCACUUCUCCAACCUUUUCAGUCUAUAUCGAAUCAUUAUUUAUUGUUAAUUUCUAUUUGCACGAUUUGUUUAAAAAAUUAAUUGAAAUAUUAUUGCAGGUACUUCAAAUAAAAAUAUCCUACCUGUUCGGCAACCAAUUCGCCUAUAUAACAAAAUAUGAAAAUAUUGAAAGUAAUCGAUGCGAUUAUUGCUAUAGUUUUUUUAUUGCAUGCGUACCACAAUUAGAUAAUAUCCGAGAAGACACAUAUUCGCAGUACAGCCUAAAAAUUCUACAAAAGAUAUUUGUUGAAGCGCUCUUUCUAUGAUGCUCAACGAUAAAACCAAGCUUCUUGUGGAGCGUUUGCUCAUCCUGUUUCUUCUCAUUGUUAUCCUUCACCAACUUAUCCGACCUGAUCAUGACCACGUUGAACUGGCCACACGCGUGCAUUGCUAAUACGGCGGCCAGUCCGCAAGCACCAACUGUGACCGAGGUUGAGAUGAAUCCGGAGAGGAGCUGAAGAGCGAAUACGAUCUCGUUCAUGGGACUGAACCUAACAUCUAACAGAUACUUCCAUAAGAAUAUCCUACCUGUUCGGCAACCAGAUCGCCUAUAUAACAAAAUAUGAAGAUAUUGAAAGUGAUAGAUAUGAUUAAAGCUACCCUUACUCAUAUCCGAUCGGCCAUCCACUAAGUGAUCCAACCAGUUCAUCAACACCUGCAUUUGUCCACAUGCGUGCACCGCGAAUACAGCGGCUAUACUACAAGCUGCCGAUGUUAUAGCGUGCAUCACAACACCUGUCAGAAUUUGAACGGACAAUACGAUUUCAUUGUAAGGGCUGUAACGUAUAUCAGCGAUCAAACUCGACGAAGGAAAUGUCCCAUUCGAUGCAUUCGAUACCUUCACGUAUAUCAUUUUCAUGGAGCAAUAGCAG